rnacentral:rRNA from 1 species
AUGGUGGGGAUCACGGUGCCCAUGUCCAUGGACAAGGUCCCACUGGUGAAAUGCGCUAAUGCGGCGGCGGUUCCGACUGUCGACCUGUCGGCGGCGGGCGCGGCGGCGGCCGUGGAGCAGGCAUGCCGCAGCGUGGGCAUCUUCAGGGCGAUCAACCACGGCGUGCCGACCGCCCUCGCAGACGCGCUGGAGGCCGGCGCCGCGGCCUUCUUCGCGCUGCCGCACAAGAGCAAGCUGGAGGCGUCGGCGACCCCCUUGGGCUACGGCAGCAAGAGCAUCGGCCGCAACGGCGACGUGGGCUGGCUCGAGUACAUCCUUCUCUCCGUCGGGUCCGGCUCCGUCGCCGCCGCCUCCCUGCCGCCGCCGCUCGGGGCGGCGCUGGAGGAGUACACGGACGCGGUACGCGAGGUGGGAGCGCGCGUGCUGGAGCUCAUGGCGGAGGGGCUGGGGCUCGCGGAGGAGAACCGCGGCGUGCUGCGGCGGGUGGUGGCGUCGGACGAAGCUGACAAGAUGGUGCGCGUGAACCACUACCCGCCGUGCCCGUGCCCCCUGGCGGCAGGGCAGCGCGGCGUGACGGGGUUCGGGGAGCACACGGACCCGCAGGUCAUCUCCCUUCUCCGGUCCAACCGCACCGGGGGCCUCCAGAUCAUGCUCCCGGACGGCCACUGGGUGCCCGUGGCCCCCGACCCGGAUUCCCUCUUCGUCAACGUCGGGGACUCCCUGCGGGUGCUGACCAACGGGCGGUUCCAGAGCGUGAAGCACCGGGUGGUGGCGCCGGCGGAUGGGGAGCAGUCGCGGCUGUCGGUGAUCUACUUCGGCGGGCCCGCGCCGACGCAGCGGAUCGCGCCGCUGCCGGAGCUGAUGCGGGAAGGGGAGCUGAGCAUGUACAGGGACUUCACCUGGGCCGAGUACAAGAAGGCCGCCUACAAGUCCCGCCUCGGCGACAACCGCCUCGACCCCUUCGAGCUCUUCCCCGCCGCCGCCCAAGACUGCAGCAGCAACGCCGUCCAGCCGCCGGCGCCGGCGCCACCUCACGUGGCACCAGUGCACUAG